UACGUAGGGGCAAGCGUUGUCCGGAUUUAUUGGGUCGUAAAGAGCGUGGUUAGGCGGUUUGGUAGGUCCGCUGUGAAAACUCGAGCUCAACCUCGAGACGCCUGGUGGAAACCAUCAGACUAGAGUCCGGAAGAGGAGAGUGGAAUUCCGUGGAUGUGAGCGGUGAAAUGCGACAGAUAUCAGGAAGAACACCCGUGGCUAAGGCGGCUCUCUAGUAACGGUACUGACGCUGAGACGCGAAAGCGUGGGGAGCGAACAGGGAUUAGAUACCGAGUAAGC
rnacentral:rRNA from 1 species